GGGGAAGGUCGUAGCUCAGGGGGUAGAACAUCUGCUUAGCAUGCAGAAGAUUUCAGGUUGAACCCCUGGCUUCUCCA